AUUGAACGCUGGCGGCAGGCCUAACACAUGCAAGUCGAGCGGAUGAAGGGAGCUUGCUCCUGGAUUCAGCGGCGGACGGGUGAGUAAUGCCUAGGAAUCUGCCUGGUAGUGGGGGAUAACGUCCGGAAACGGGCGCUAAUGCCGCAUACGUCCUGAGGGAGAAAGUGGGGGAUCUUCGGACCUCACGCUAUCAGAUGAGCCUAGGUCGGAUUAGCUAGUUGGUGGGGUAAAGGCCUACCAAGGCGACGAUCCGUAACUGGUCUGAGAGGAUGAUCAGUCACACUGGAACUGAGACACGGUCCAGACUCCUACGGGAGGCAGCAGUGGGGAAUAGUGGACAAUGGGCGAAAGCCUGAUCCAGCCAUGCCGCGUGUGAAGAAGGUCUUCGGAUUGUAAAGCACUUUAAGUUGGGAGGAAGGGCAGUAAGUUAAUACCUUGCUGUUUUGACGUUACCAACAGAAUAAGCACCGGCUAACUUCGUG
rnacentral:rRNA from 1 species